UCAACAAUUUUUAUUGAGCUUGAGGCCCUUUUAUAAGGCGAACUUCGCACAGUACGUAGGCAACUGGAUGAGUCAUAUGGGGUCGUCGGUUCGAGUCCCGCUGAAGAAUUCUGAUGAGAAAAUGUGGUGAUUUCCGAAAUAGCUAUCGCUUCGACCAAUUUUCCAAAUUG